rnacentral:rRNA from 1 species
CCCUUAGAUGCUCUGGGCCGCACGCGCGCUACACUGGUCGAUGCAACGAGUUUCUUUCCUUGGCCGACAGGCCUGGGCAAUCUUUGAACAUCGAUCGUGAUCGGGAUAGAUUCUUGUAAUUUUUGAUCUUAAACGAGGAAUUCCUAGUAAACGCAAGUCAUCAGCUUGCAUUGAUUACGUCCCUGCCCUUUGUACACACCGCCCGUCGCACCUACCGAUUGAAUGGUCCGGUGAAAUCUCCGGACUGGCGUGAGUCGGAGCAAUCUGACAAACGCCGGAAAGUUGAUUAAACCUUACCAUUUAGAGGAAGGAGAANUCGUAACA